AGGGGAGCGUUCUGUAAGCCUGCGAAGGUGUGCUGUGAGGCAUGCUGGAGGUAUCAGAAGUGCGAAUGCUGACAUAAGUAACGAUAAAGCGGGUGAAAAGCCCGCUCGCCGGAAGACCAAGGGUUCCUGUCCAACGUUAAUCGGGGCAGGGUGAGUCGACCCCUAAGGCGAGGCCGAAAGGCGUAGUCGAUGGGAAACAGGUUAAUAUUCCUGUACUUGGUGUUACUGCGAAGGGGGGACGGAGAAGGCUAUGUUGGCCGGGCGACGGUUGUCCCGGUUUAAGCGUGUAGGCUGGUUUUCCAGGCAAAUCCGGAAAAUCAAGGCU
rnacentral:rRNA from 1 species